rnacentral:rRNA from 1 species
GUAAAGAGCUCGUAGGCGGUUUGUCGCGUCUGCUGUGAAAACCCGAGGCUCAACCUCGGGCCUGCAGUGGGUACGGGCAGACUAGAGUGCGGUAGGGGAGAUUGGAAUUCCUGGUGUAGCGGUGGAAUGCGCAGAUAUCAGGAGGAACACCAAUGGCGAAGGCAGAUCUCUGGGCCGUAACUGACGCUGAGGAGCGAAAGCAUGGGGAGCGAACAGGAUUAGAUACCCUGGUAGUCCAUGCCGUAAACGUUGGGAACUAGAUGUGGGGACCAUUCCACGGUCUCCGUGUCGCAGCUAACGCAUUAAGUUCCCCGCCUGGGGAGUACGGCCGCAAGGCUAAAACUCAAAGGAAUUGACGGGGGCCCGCACAAGCGGCGGAGCAUGCGG